rnacentral:rRNA from 1 species
GGGGCAACCCUGAUGGAGCGACGCCGCGUGGAGGAUAAGGUCUUCGGAUUGUAAACUCCUGUCAUGCGUGAACAAGACUGCCGGGUUAAUAACCUGAGCAGGUUGAUGGUAACGCAAGAGGAAGAGACGGCUAACUCUGUGCCAGCAGCCGCGGUAAUACAGAGGUCUCAAGCGUUGUUUGGAAUCACUGGGCGUAAAGGGUGCGUAGGUGGCGUGGUAAGUCAGAUGUGAAAGCCCGGGGCUCAACCUCGGAAUUGCAUCCGAUACUGCCGUGCUCGAGUACUGAAGGGGUGACUAGAAUUCUCGGUGUAGCAGUGAAAUGCGUAGAUAUCGAGAGGAAUACCAAAGGCGAAGGCAGGUCACUGGGCAGUUACUGACACUGAGGCACGAAGGCCAGGGGAGCGAACGGGAUUAGAUACCCCGGUAGUCCUGGCAGUAAACGGUGCACACUUGGUGUGGGAGGAUUCGACCCCUCCCGUGCCGGAGCUAACGCGUUAAGUGUGCCGCCUGGGAAGUACGGUCGCAAAAUUAAAACUCAAAGAAAUUGACGGGGACCCGCACAAGCGGUGGAGUAUGUGGCUUAAUUCGAUGCAACGCGAAGAACCUUACCUGGUCUUGACAUGCAUCUUGUCGUCUGUGAAAGCAGGCUAGGGUAGCAAUACCCGAUUUGCACAGGUGCUGCAUGGCUGUCGUCAGCUCGUGUCGUGAGAUGUUGGGUUAAGUCCCGCAACGAGCGCAACCCUUGUCGUUAAUUGCCAUCAUUAAGUUGGGCACUUUAGCGAGACUGCCGGUGACAAACCGGAGGAAGGUGGGGAUGACGUCAAAUCAUCAUGGCCUUUAUGCCUAGGGCGACACACGUGCUACAAUGGCCAGAACAGAGGGCUGCGAUACCGCGAGGUGGAGCCAAUCCCAUAAAUCUGGUCCAGUUCGGAUUGAGUCUGCAACCCGACUCCAUGAAGUGGAAUCGCUAGUAAUCGCGCAUCAGCCAUGGCGCGGUGAAUACGUUC